AUCCAGUUGACGAGUCCCAAAUAGGAUGAAACGCGCGUUCUGUAU
rfam:Schistosoma margrebowiei strain Zambia genome assembly, scaffold: SMRZ_contig0000285